rnacentral:lncRNA from 1 species
CUUGUCCUUGGUGAUUUAGCCAUUCACCUUACGUGAAGAGUGGUCCAGAUGCCAGCUCCACAUUGACUUUUUCUGUGUCCCUCUUUAGGUAAUUAACCCAGUGAUGUAAAGGAGAGCCCACAGUAAAACAUCUGUUAAACAGCACUUGGAGUACUAUAGUGUUAUUAAUUUAUGUGCUAUAAUUUCUUAUGCCAUCAUAAAAUCUAGUGUAUGUACCAGGUUCCCAAUUCAUUGCCUCAAACAAAAGAUUUUUAAAAAUUCUAAUAGCAUCAAAUUAAGGGUAAUGGUAGGGAAACCCAUCAUCCACAAUUAAAUAUGCCCAAACUGAAAACUUUAAGAAAAAAAAGCACAUGGAAAGCAACGUUUUACAUUAAUCGUGAGUUGUAGAAAUAAACAGCUUGUGGUUUGUAUAUGUGCCGAAAUGUUAAAGUAUGCUGGCAUCCAACUACUUCCCUUUGGAAAUGGGACCAAGACAAUAAUUUUUCAUGCAUAAACAAAAUUAACUUAGAGCAAAAGUAAUUUUAUCAGAAACAGUUUAUUUUGGGGGCUGGAUAACUUGGGUGAGAGUGUGGGGAAAGAAGUACCUUACCAAAAAGGAGAAGCAACUGACCCUGUGGCCUGAGCCACAUUGUCUUCCAUUUCAACUUCAAUGGGCUGGCAGUAUACCACUUCUGACCUCAAAGAAUGAAUGGUUCCAAUUCUGGCUUGUCAUUGGUCCUUGUUAUCUAAAUUAAAUAUUUUUAGGAAAUAUAUCAAAAGUAUCCUAGAGCCCCAUGGCAAAGUGUCAGAGGAAAUAGUUUUCAUUAUAUUUUAGGAAGCUGUAAAAAUAUAAGCCCAAGUAUUUUGUGUCAUCUGCAUAUGUCAGGAUGAAGACCAGGCAUGUAAGAAAUAUCCUAAAGUAGCCAAGUGAUAAUCUCAUGAAAAAAUAUGAGAAUCGUUUUUACAGAGUGAGUUCUCUUUUGAAUGGUUUUGACUAUGCUUUUAAAAACAUUUUUAAAAUGUACUUACAUCUUUUUCGAUAGCCCACGUAUUUCAGAAUAUCCUCUUGAUAGAAUAAUAUCACUCAGUGUGAUUUUUAGAAAAAGAAAAACUCGGUGGUCUCAUAUCUUUUGACAGUUGUUUGUGAAUAAUACCCUCCCCAACAACCUUCCCAGUACUCAACUGCUAUGUAAGAAUGCUUUCUUAUGUGGUAAAUGUCUCAGUAUUUUGCUGCCUGGUAUUUGUUCAGUUUCCUUGUAUAUCUCAGGGUCAGAAGGAAUCAGGCUUUCUCCCAACUCUGAAACAUUCAGACUUACUUUCUUUUUGGUCAGCCUUUUAACAAGCAAGACAAUAAACUCCUUUUGUCAGAAUCGAUUUGAUUAAAAAAAAAAAAAAAGAAUGUGCUCCUUAUUUCUCAUUGCUGUAGAAUACGUAGGAAUACACAUCUACUAAUCACAAUUAAAAAAUAAGAGAAUCUUUAGAAACAUCAUUGCUUUCUGGAGGUAGAAAUUUUGAACUUGAAGGUUGUAGUUCCAGGCAAUUUUGUGCCCUUGAGGUGUCCAAUUGAUAGUAUAGCUUGCCUCUGCUAAUAAAUACACAAAAGUUUUCUUUCCUGUGAUUUUCAGAAAUUAUUUUUGGAAUACAAAGAUUAAUAAGGAAUAUGUGAUGUUUAUCUCCUGCAUUUCAAAAUCUUCUGGAUUUUUUUUGAGGCAUGAGGAGCAGGUAAUGAGAUUUUUUUUCUGAAUAUCUUGAUUCUCUCCCUUAACCCAGAUUUUGCAUAUUAUGCAUUGCUCAUUUGUCACCUACAAAAAUAAAGGUUAAUGAUUAUUUGUUUGCUUUUGUCUAUAUAAGCUCCCUAAGGCACAGACCAUGUUCGUUUUUCUUAUGUUCCUCUUAGCACUGUGCCUGGUGCCUUGCCAUAUAAAAGGUACCCUAUAAAUAUUUGUUGGCUGAGUAAUCAGAGAGCCCAUUUCAAAAUCUAAAUUAUACAAAUCAUCAAAGACCAAAAAAAAAAAAAAAAAAUCUCUUGACAGUUGAUGCUCAAAUGCAUUUGGUUCUGUGGAGCUUAUCCUGAGAUUGAGGUCUGCACCUUGACUGGAGAGGAAUUUGGACUUUACCUCACAGGUAGCAACAAAAUGCCUGAGUAGCAACGUCUUUAUACUGCACAGUUCCAGUCCUGCCUGCGUGAAAACUGAGCAGAGCAUGGUGGGGACAGGAAGGUGUCCCUAAACCCUGUUGAUGACCUCCCAUCUAUCCCCGGACCCCCAUAUCUCCUCUGCUCAUCCCCUGUUCCCCACUGGCCUCUGAUCAGUUGAAAGGGAGCUUUUCUAGCCUGGAACCUGAGCCUGCCUUGAUUAUCCUGGGCUCAGAACAGGUCCACUUCCACACUCUUUCCUUGCAACCUACAGAUGGCCCUACUGACUGCUGUUGUCCAGGAGAAAGACGAACCUCCCAGUGGAAUCUUGUCAGGAAAGGCAUCCCUCUGGGGAGCUUUCUUUGGAGAGGAAAAUUCUGGGACAAAGUUCCUCAGGAUGCUCUCAGGCUGGUUUUUGUCUUGAAGAUUUUAUAGUAAUUGUACCAAUGUUUAUUAACUCUCCUAGGAACAUCUCUGUCUUUGGUUUUCUGACAGCACUCCAGCA